rnacentral:misc_RNA from 1 species
CAUAUAUUUGGUGAAGCGAGAAGAACAACGCCUUCAAUCCUUUAUAUGCCUCACUUCAAUCUUUGGUGGGAUAAUGCACAUGAACAGCUAAGGGCUGUUCUGUUGACUCUGUUAGAUGAAUUGCCAUCUGACUUGCCCAUAUUGUUGCUUGGAACUACUACAGAACUACCCAUGGGCAAUGAGACUCAGCCAUUUCCAGUAUUUCCUCAACAUUCCAUCUAUCAAGUGGGCAUACCAUCAGUUGAAGACAGAUCUUUGUUUUUCGACCGUUUAAUUGAAGCUACUUUAUCAGUUCUGUUAGAGGGCAUAACCAAGAAGUCACAAGGAUCAGUAUCCCUUCCUGAUCUUCCCAAGG